GCUCCGAAAACACAAAAAGCCGUCUUCAUAAGAGAGAGCGAGAGAGAGAGAGAGAGAGAGAGAGAGAGAGAGUCUGCACAUUCUGCGUCACUGAUCUUCGGAGAAUCGCAGCGAGAUGGGGAACCAGAAGCUGAAGUGGACGAAGGAGGAAGAGGAGGCGCUCCUCGCCGGAAUCGCCAAGCACGGCCCCGGGAAGUGGAAGAACAUCCUCAAAGACCCCGAAUUCGCUCCUGCCCUCGUCAACCGCUCCAACAUCGACCUCAAGGACAAGUGGCGUAACUUGAGCGUCGGUAAUUCCGGACAAGGUUCUAGAGAUAAACAAAGGCUGCCAAAAGUUAAAGGUGUGAUGGCCGCUCCACAGUCCAGUACUCCAAGUUCUGUGCCUCUAACUCCACAAGCUCAUACUGCACCUACUGAUGUUUCCAUGGUCAAUUCUUCAAAUAGCUUUCAAGACGGCAAGAAUUAUUCACUGCCCAACAUGCUAAUCUUUGAAGCACUUUCAUCCACGAAAGGUUCCUUUGGAUCUGAUAUUGGUGCCAUUGUUAGCUACAUUGAGCAAAGGCAAGAGGUGCUGCCAAAUUUUAGACGAUUACUGAGUUCAAAAUUGAGAAGGCUUGUUUCUCAAGGCAAACUCGAAAAGGUGCAGAAUUAUUAUAGGAUCAGUCUACAAGCUCCUCUAGGAACAAAAACACCGGUACAAGAGCAGAAGGAUGUUCGGUCCCUGCCGUCAAAGCAGUUGGCAUUGUCAAGUCAUGAGACACUGAAAGAGGUGGCAAUGGCUGCUGCCUACAAUGUUGUUGAAGCAGAGAACAAAUCGUUUUUGGCAGCUGAGGCUGUUAAGGAGGCUGAACGAGUCUCAAAAAUGGCAGAUGACGCAGUUAUGACGCUACAGCUAGUACAAGAGAUCUACGAACAAUGUUUGCAAGGUGAAAUUUUUCUCAUGGCAUAACCCAUUCAGAGUAACUCCAAAGGAUAUCUGAAUUGCCUUGCAUGUAAAUUUUUUCCAUGGAGCUCAAAGGUCAGUGGCUUCUAUGCAUAAGCCAAUCAGAUAAUAAUAUAUGUAUUAAAUAGAUGGCUUCAUGCUAGUUUUCUCUAGUAUGAUCUAUUGUAUAUGCUUCCCUGACAAAUUGCCUAAUUCUAAAGUUAUGCUUUUGC